UACGUAGGGGGCAAGCGUUGUCCGGAUUCAUUGGGCGUAAAGAGCGUGUAGGCGGCCAGGUAGGUCGGUUGUGAAAACUGGAGGCUCAACCUUCAGAGGUCGACCGAAACCAUCUGGCUAGAGUCCGGGAGAGGAGAGUGGAAUUCCUGGUGUAGCGGUGAAAUGCGUAGAUAUCUGGAGGAACACCGGUGGCGAAGGCGGCAUCCUGGACCGAUAUUGACGCUGAUGCGCGAAAGCCAGGGGAGCAAACGGG
rnacentral:rRNA from 1 species